CUGUGUUCACCCCUCUCCCCAAUGGCCUCACUGAGUGAGGGAGAGAAUGAAGAAAAUAGGGAGGGCUGGAGCUGGGGGGCCCUCAGGAGCUGGGGGCCCGGGUUAGGAACAUAGGAGGCUGCCAGAGAAUUAGUCUGACCAUAAGUCCAUCUAGCUCAGUAUUGUCUUCACAGACUGGCGGCGGCUUCUCCAAGGUUGCAGGCAGGAAUCUCUCUCAGCCCUAUCUUGGAGAAGCCAGGGAGGGAACUUGGAACCUUCUGCUCUUCCCAGAGUGGCUCCAUCCCCUGAGGGGAAGAUCUUCCAGUGUUCACACUUCUAGUCUCCCAUUCAUAUGUAACCAGGCGGACCUUGCUUAGCUAAAGGGACAAGUCAUGCUUGCUACUACAAGACCAGCUUUUCUCUCCCGUUAUUUGAACCCAUUCGCUCAAUUAUCGCUACACUUCUGCUGAGCUGACAUACCUUGAUGAUGAUGAUGAUGCCAACAUGAUGCCCAUUCUUUCCAAUGGGCAUUAUGCCAUGCUGCUGUGUGCUUGAAGUCCUUACCGCGAGUGCGGCAGCCUUGUGGUACAGUCCCAUCACAGGUAUUUAUGCGCAUGCAGAGGUGUGGGAAGUGCUCAAGCCAUCUGUGUCCCCUUGCUCAACAUGUCAGCCAAAAACAGCUCAGAGAGGGUGUGAAGGAAGCACCCCAUGGAAAGUCAAGCACCCCACCCCCUUGCUCUGAACAAAUCUGGAAUGCUCCACGACUGCAGUGAAGUGUGUGUGUUUUUAAAAGGAGGUCAGGAGACAGACACUUCACCUAUUUCCUGCAUUACAUCUCAAAGGGCAGACCAUGUGAUCCAGCCAAGCAAACCAACCAGGCACUAAGCAAUUGUGUGGAGAGAUUCCUGACCACCUUCCACUUUCUUCCCUUCUCUUCUCUCCAAAGGCUUAGCUUUGGAAUGACUCAGGCUUACAUAAGUAAUUGAAACGUGCGUGGAUGGGACAUAAAAACUAUUAGUCACCAUCGUCAAUUUCCAAUGUCCUAUUAUUCAGAAGAUGGAGACAGACAGGCAAAAUCUUCAUCAGGACUGCAAAUGUGGUUUGUGUUAUGGCAAAAAACAAUGAAAUGUCUUCUCUCUCUCUCUCUCUCUCUCUCUCUCUCUCUUUGCUUAUUGCCUCAUUAUGUCCAUUAGUAAUAUGCAACUACCAGAGAAAAGUGCAAAACUGUUUGCUGAGGUGCUGCUGUGGAGUGGACAGGAUCAGAAAUAAGACCUCAACGCUGUGGCAGUGGCACCCAUGAAAUUACCCUCACUCAUAUAGUCUUGUACAGUGAAGGCUUAUGCAUUUAUUUGUGACUUAAAUAUAAAUAUAAAUAUAAAUACACACACA